CCUGGUAUAAUGCUGUCAGUCAUAAUUCCAGUUGUUAUCUUAAAAGGUUGUAUGUCACAGCAACUUGAAUAAGCUUCUGUGU